rnacentral:rRNA from 1 species
CCAGCUCCAAUAGCGUAUAUUAAAGUUGUUGCAGUUAAAAAGCUCGUAGUUGAAGUUCUGAUUGCUCAGCUCUUCAGCCAUUAGGCGGGGAGUCUGACAGUCAUCCGCUUGCAAACAUAUGUUCGCUUUUAACCGGGCGGCUAUGUGAGUAAGCAUUUUACCUUGAGAAAAACAGAGUGUUCCAGGCAGGUUUGUCCGGAAUGCAUUAGCAUGGAAUAAUAGAACAUGACUGGAGUCUAUUUAUUGGUUUAAGGCUUUAGUAAUGAUUAAUAGGAACAGUCGGGGGCAUUCGUACUCAGCAGUCAGAGGUGAAAUUCUAAGAUUUGCUGAAGACGAACUAAUGCGAAAGCAUUUGCCAAGGAUGUUUUCA